rnacentral:misc_RNA from 1 species
AAAAAAAAAAAAAAAAAGAUAGUGGGAUAUCCAUCUUUAGGUUGGAUAAAUGUAGGAAGUUUGUUCUAUAUAUUGGGUAAAUGUAGCAAGUUGUUAUAGUGUUUAUGUAUUACUUUACCUAGGGCAACUUGUGGAAUUGCCAUUUGGAUUUGAUAACUGCUUAUUGUUACAUAUAAAAGAACUAGAUUUAAGAAUAAAUAGAAGUGUUGAGAAGUUGCAGGAAUAGGUGUGAAAGCUGGAAAAGUCGACCAGUAAACUGGAGAAUCUCUGUUUUUAUUCAUUCCAGAUUUUCUAUCAAUAAAGAAUUAUUCUGUGUCUUAAUUUCUCUUCUUUCUCUUUUCUACCUGUUUCACUCCCUCUAAGUUUCUCCUCUCUCCUUAUUUUCUACCUGUUUCCCUGGGGUUGAGGGAAGGUAAUCUGCUUCAUGAAAUACUGUUUUAUAACUAUUUGUUUUAAUGGUAUUACAGUCUUGUAACAUUGAUGAGGAA